rnacentral:tRNA from 1 species
GCCCUUGUGGCGCAGUGGUAAAGCAUUCGGCUGCUAACUGAGAGGUUGGCGGUUUGAACCCCCCCGGUGGCU